rnacentral:misc_RNA from 1 species
GAAAAUUAUGGGACGAGCCUCUCAAAGAGUACAAGGCUGGAAUGAAGAAACCAUGCCAAUCCUUUAUGGAAUUAAUUCCGAGGAUUAAUUUCAUGAACUUGACUCCUAUUUUAGCUACAAAUAGUGGGGUUUUUAUGUACUAUGUGUUGAAGUGAUCUUUAGGUUCCCGUUGGAAUAAGUCCAAGUUUGUUUAUGUUUUUGUUGUAUAAGUCCCUAGUCUUAGGGAAAUCUGUUACUUACAGUUGUGAGUAUGCAGAGAUAAUGUAGCUUUGAUUC